rnacentral:lncRNA from 1 species
AAAGUCUCUUCUGGUCUUUGGAUUAGAAAAGGCUUAUGUUAGCAACCUCAGAGACUUGAGCCCUGCUAAGUGACUGACCACUGUUUAGAAUGUCCAGAAUCUGAUGUCCAUCUGUCCCUGUGUCUUCUGUCCUCUUUCAGCUAGUUUAGGCUUAUGCCUAGAGUCACCCCAAAGAACUGAGACUGGCUGCAGCAGCCCAGCUGUGUUUCUCAUUGAUGAUAAUAGUAGGCUCUACUGCCCUCCCCUCCCCUAUCCAAGUAGCAGUUAAGUUCCAUCCAAAUACGUGGGACUCAAAGACUCCUAGUCAGCUGUAGUUCUGGAGGCUCUGAAUGUCUAACUUUAGCAUCAAAGUGUCUGUCUCAGAUUCCCAGUAAACACCUCUGUAGGGGAUGAAGUUUCCAUGUCCCCCAUCUUCCUUUUGGUCACCUUCAUCUGUGUGUCAGUUAAGACACAGUGAGGGACAGCCCAGCUGCAAUAAAAGGGAUUUUCUAUGUCAGAAGCAGCAGGCUUUGCUUCAGCUUGAGUUGGAGCCGUGUGAGUCUCAGGCCAGGCCCUUAUUUCUGAAUGUGUUUGAAUUUUAAGUUUGCCUUAUCAGAUAUCUGAGCUGUGCGACAAGUAAGUAGCUCUGGGGCCAUGUCUUGACUGGCUCCUAAUGGUGACUCCAGGCCAGCACUUGGUCAUUUGAGAACUGUCUUCUGUGUUCUCUGUGACUUAGGCUAGCCCUAGGGUACUGAGGUGGCAGCUGCAUGGCUGUGGCCUGAAGUUGCACUUGCAAAGGUCCUGCUUCUACAGGACGCUGAGGUACUUACUACCCUGGUCUCGGGAACUGCCUGCCUAGGGCAACAGAUGUCCUGACUAAUCUGGCUUCUGGUUCCCGGUCCAUCCCUAUUUACAAAGCUAUGGGCCACUGUCAGCACAUUAAACAAGGUGAGGGAGAGUAGCUGCCUCCGUGUCACCUUGUCUGCCUGGGUCUCUGAGGAAGGAGGGGUCCUGCUUUCUCACCCAGCUCACCCCUUUGGUGACUCAGAGUCCUUCUCAGAAGGAAACCCUGACUCCUGGGCCAUUUCCUAAUGGUACUGUAAGCCAAGUGGCUCGGCUUCUGCCUCUGUUUCCAAGCCCACCCCUUCCCGGAGGGAUAGGGACGGGUGCUUUCCUCUCUAGUUGUAUCUGAGCGGAAGGAACAUCUUUCUGUAGCUAAUAAAAACUAAAAGGGAAGAGGAAGCAGAAGGGAAGGAGUGUGGCGGAGGCUGGGAUGGAUUCCCUAAGCCAAGCCUGCCCAGCUAAUGAGCUGUUUGACGUUGAACUUGAAAGCUUUCCCCUCCCUCUAAGAUGAUGUAGGUACUUGAGGUUUGGGUUAAAGGGGCUGGGUGGGGCACGCUUUAUUUUUAUUUUUGUAUUGUGUAUGUCAAGAAUCACUCCAUUGUUCGUG